UUCCCUACGGGGCGCAGCAGUGGGGGAUAUUGCACAAUGGGGGGAACCCUGAUGCAGCGACGCCGCGUGGGUGAAGGAGUGCUUCGGCAUGUAAAGCCCUAUCGGCAGGGAAGAAGCAAGACGGUACCUGACUAAGAAGCCCCGGCUAACUACGUGCCAGCAGCCGCGGUCAUACGUAGGGGGCAAGCGUUAUCCGGAUUUACUGGGUGUAAAGGGAGCGUAGACGGCGGCGCAAGCCAGAUGUGCAAGCCCGGGGCUCAACCCCGGGACCGCAUUUGGAA
rnacentral:rRNA from 1 species